AAUUGGAGGCUUUACCAAGGUGGCUUCUUCAUGGGCCAACUUCUAACACUUUACAUCAAUUACAUAUUUCAAAUUGCCCAAGCUUGAGAGCAUUGCCAGAAAGUGGGUUGCAAAAGCUCGUAUACCUUCAAAAACUUGAGAUUCAAGAUUGUCCUGAAUUGAUUGGAAGAUGCAAACCUGAAACGGGGGAAGAUUGGCAAAAAAUCGCUCAUAUACCUAAAAUAUAUCUUGAUGGAGAAAAGAUUGCAUCGUUAACCAAUAAUUAGGCGGACUGGGUGAGAAAUGGAGAGUUGACCUGGAAAUGGAGGACUAAUCAAAUAUGGUUCUUCUGCUAUGAUUGGAUGAUGCGGUUGGAAUUUGGAAGUUGGAAGAGAGUUGAUGGAGCUGGAAAUGGAGGACUGAUCAAAGCUAGUGUUUGGGUCCUUGCUUGCUUACCAGUCUUUUUCUUGAUUCUUAACUUGUUGCUUCAGUGCUGAAUUCUGGAGUGGUGUGCUUGUUUAUUAUUUGUCUUAUUUUCACAUAGACUCAUGUGUAAGGUUGCUUUGGUUGUUUGGAGUUUGGAGUGUGAACUUUGAUUUAGUUUACAAUAAAAGAUUGAUGGAUUCAUUUAUCAAUCAAAUAUAUGAAUGAUAA